rnacentral:rRNA from 1 species
CCUACGGGUGGCAGCAGUGGGGAAUAUUGGACAAUGGGCGAAAGCCUGAUCCAGCCAUGCCGCGUGUGUGAAGAAGGCCUUCGGGUUGUAAAGCACUUUCAGUGGGGAAGAAAGCCUUGGGGCUAAUACCCUCGAGGAAGGACAUCACCCACAGAAGAAGCACCGGCUAACUCCGUGCACAGCAGCCGCGGUAAUACGGAGGGUGCGAGCGUUAAUCGGAAUUACUGGGCGUAAAGCGCGCGUAGGCGGUCUGAUAAGCCGGUUGUGAAAGCCCCGGGCUCAACCUGGGAACGGCAUCCGGAACUGUCAGGCUAGAGUGCAGGAGAGGAAGGUAGAAUUCCCGGUGUAGCGGUGAAAUGCGUAGAGAUCGGGAGGAAUACCAGUGGCGAAGGCGGCCUUCUGGACUGACACUGACGCUGAGGUGCGAAAGCGUGGGUAGCAAACAGGAUUAGAUACCCCGGUAGUC